UACGGAGGGAGCUAGCGUUGUUCGGAAUUACUGGGCGUAAAGCGCACGUAGGCGGUUAUUCAAGUCAGAGGUGAAAGCCCGGGGCUCAACUCCGGAAUAGCCUUUGAAACUAGAUAACUUGAAUCCAGGAGAGGUGAGUGGAAUUCCGAGUGCAGAGGUGAAAUUCGUAGAUAUUCGGAAGAACACCAGUGGCGAAGGCGGCUCACUGGACUGGUAUUGACGCUGAGGUGCGAAAGCGUGGGGAGCAAACAGG
rnacentral:rRNA from 1 species